AGUGAACGCUGGCGGUAGGCCUAACACAUGCAAGUCGAACGGCGGCACAGUAAGAGCUUGCUCUUACGGGUGGCGAGUGGCGGACGGGUGAGGAAUACAUCGGAAUCUACUUUUUCGUGGGGGAUAACGUAGGGAAACUUACGCUAAUACCGCAUACGACCUACGGGUGAAAGCAGGGGAUCUUCGGACCUUGCGCGAUUGAAUGAGCCGAUGUCGGAUUAGCUAGUUGGCGGGGUAAAGGCCCACCAAGGCGACGAUCCGUAGCUGGUCUGAGAGGAUGAUCAGCCACACUGGAACUGAGACACGGUCCAGACUCCUACGGGAGGCAGAAGUGGGGAAUAUUGGACAAGGGGCGCAAGCCUGAUCCAGCCAUACCGCGUGGGUGAAGAAGGCCUUCGGGUUGUAAAGCCCUUUUGUUGGGAAAGAAAAGCAGCAGGUUAAUACCCCGCUGUUCUGACGGAACCCAAAGAAUAAGCACCGGCUAACUUCGU
rnacentral:rRNA from 1 species